rnacentral:lncRNA from 1 species
AUGCUGAAAAUCAGGGAGGAGGCUAGCAUGUUCAUUAACAAGAAAAUAUUGAUCAGUGGAAAUUUCUAUUGUGUUGCAGGAAUUGACUGCAUGAAGGCAGCUUUGGGGGUUGACCUCUUGGCCUGUGGCCUUUCAGUGACUUAUAAUGAUGGCCGUACUGUCCCCAGGCCAGCUGACCCCCAGCCAUACCUCUGGGCCAGAAUGUAAAGCACAAUUUAAGUAGACUCAGAGAAGAAGCUGAAGUCAACCUGCGGAUUACUAAACCCGAGGGCUGCAUUUGACGGCAGAUCUGCGAGGUAUCAUUUGGUCUAAACCUAAGCCCAGUGCUUGGGACCUUAUUUGGAUAUUGCUGCUUUCAAUGCUUGAGCCGUUCUUCCAAACACUGGAGUUCUCGGCUACUUUUCAGUAUGAUGUAAGUACCACAAGUAUUGCACUGUCUUAGAGGUUCUAGUAGGGGAUUUCAGAUAAGAUUCCACAUCUGAACACACUAGGAAACAUUAGGUGGAAGUAACAUUUAAGAAAUGCAUUUGAAGGUCUCACUUGACAAUCUAGGAAAAAAAAUCCCCAGUUUCAGAGAUUCAAGUCUGACUCCUCUUUAAUCUUCAAAGCAAGAAACAGCUUGAAAUACUCAAAAAGAAGGCUAAAGAGACCAGCUGCAUCCUUCUCAAUCUAUUGCUCCAAUGGUUCUUUCGAAGGUCCUUGGCUUCCUGUGCUUUAUACGGCUCAGACACAAACUGCUGAUUUUCUAAACUAGUAAAGUCUCUUAUAAAGCAAUAAUUAAGCUGUUUCAAAUGCUAAGAAAUGGGGCUGUUAUAUGCAAUGUUAUCCCACCCCCUGCUCCCUCUCCUUUAGGAAACACUCAGAGAAGUGGGCAGCAGUCAGAGAAGUCGGCGAGGUGGUGGGAGAUUGUUCAGAAAGUAACUCACUGAAGAGUGAGGCAAGAACCAGAAUGUGGAAACUGAGUAGUAAAAUGGUUUCUUAGACGACAGUUGACUUCGACAAAUUUGUCGGAAGGAAAGGAUGUGCAUAUUUUUGGUUCUGAAAGGCAUGUUUGAGAAACCAUAGUUAUUCGGAGCUUAUGGGAGCACUUGCAAAGGUCUUAAGGUACAAUUCUUAUCUUCAUUCCCGGCUCCAUUUUAAAUCUCGAACCCUUGCUUCCUGUCCUUUUUUUCCUCCUUGUUUUGUGCCAUGUAUGCUAUCUCAAAGUUUAUGUAUCCUUAUACAUUGCCACACAUCCCUGCGGGGAUAAAGUGUAGAAAUAAAUAUGUAGAUUUACAAGUCA